GCACCAUCCUGCUGCGGUGGGUCAGCGCACCCUGCGCAAUGGCUUUUUUCUUUUCUGAAAUGAAGGGUUUGGAAGCUUAAAGCGGGAGAAGAUCUGCAGGCUGAGCAGGGGAAAUCCAGAAAAAGUCAAGGUGUCUGAGUCCCUCCCUUGGGGCAGGGAGUAGGAAGGAGAGCUAAAGAGCAUGGAAGUGCGGGCACAGUCUCCUACCAGGAGCUGGGAAAGGAAAAAUGAAUUGGUGAGAUUUGGAAUGUCACUUGAGAACUGUGAGGAGUUUCUACGCCAUCGGAGCCAGUAUUAACAGAAAAACA